rnacentral:rRNA from 1 species
GUAGAACGCACAGGAUGCACCGUAGUUUACUACACCGUAUUCUGUGAGUUGCGAACGGGUGAGUAACGCGUAGGUAACCUGCCUGGUAGCGGGGGAUAACUAUUGGAAACGAUAGCUAAUACCGCAUAAGAACAUUUACUGCAUGGUAGAUGUUUAAAAGGUGCAAAUGCAUCACUACCAGAUGGACCUGCGUUGUAUUAGCUAGUAGGUGAGGUAACGGCUCACCUAGGCGACGAUACAUAGCCGACCUGAGAGGGUGAUCGGCCACACUGGGACUGAGACACGGCCCAGACUCCUACGGGAGGCAGCAGUAGGGAAUCUUCGGCAAUGGGGGGAACCCUGACCGAGCAACGCCGCGUGAGUGAAGAAGGUUUUCGGAUCGUAAAGCUCUGUUGUUAAGGAAGAACGAGUGUGAGAAUGGAAAGUUCAUACUGUGACGGUACUUAACCAGAAAGGGACGGCUAACUACGUGCCAGCAGCCGCGGUAAUACGUAGGUCCCGAGCGUUGUCCGGAUUUAUUGGGCGUAAAGCGAGCGCAGGCGGUUAGAUAAGUCUGAAGUUAAAGGCAGUGGCUCAACCAUUGUAGGCUUUGGAAACUGUUUAACUUGAGUGCAGAAGGGGAGAGUGGAAUUCCAUGUGUAGCGGUGAAAUGCGUAGAUAUAUGGAGGAACACCGGUGGCGAAAGCGGCUCUCUGGUCUGUAACUGACGCUGAGGCUCGAAAGCGUGGGGAGCGAACAGGAUUAGAUACCCUGGUAGUCCACGCCGUAAACGAUGAGUGCUAGGUGUUAGGUCCUUU